rnacentral:lncRNA from 1 species
AAUAAUUAUUUAAAAUUUCAAAUUUUUUUUUCUACUCUCUUUUUAAUGUUGAACGUUAUGUCAUCGGCAAAAGUUACAAAUUAAAGGUUUUUUCAAAUUAAUCUUAUUUUUAAUAUUAAUAUUUAAUAAAAUAUAAACAUCUCAAUCACAGAUAUCAUACAUUAUUUCAUACCUAAAAAAAUAGGCCUAAACAUACAUACAAUUCGGUUAAAAGAAAAAAAAACAAUUUUCCAAGAAAACAUAUUAUAGCACCUUCUUAUCACACAAG